ACUUCCCCGUGACGCCUACGGCAGGUACAGGCUGAGGGUGGACUCCCAGAUCCUCAUAACCCACCUCCAUUUGUUUUCUCCUCUCCUUGCUGACCCCUGCUGCCUGCUGCUCAAUAUUGAUGAAGACAACCAUAAAAAGCCGGUGGCUUAGAAAGAGGAAACUGGGCAGAGUUGAGCCACUCUGUGGUUAGCCUGGCUCAUGUGUCCCUUGAAACCCUGGUUGUGUGACAUGGGAGCUGCAAGAGCUGUUAACAAAGCCAGUUACCUACCUGAGCAAGAAUCGGGAACUCAUGGGUGAGUGACUAUCUUGAAGAGUGGUGGGCACUUCGGGAUCUGCACGUCUGAGAGUCUGUGAGGCAGGAGAUUGACUCCUAUAGCCGGGACACAACAGUAAGAGAGUGGGGCAGCUGUUUGCACUGCAGAGAUCAGGAAUCCUAAAAUGACCCUGGAGGGUGCUGGGGAGAUAGCUCAAUUGAUAGGGUGCUUGCUUAGCAUGGGCAAAGUCCUGGGUUUCAUCCCCAGCACUGCAUAAGUCAAAGCUGGGUGUUGUACGCUGUCAAGCAUCACUUGGGAGAUGGAGGCAGGAGGAUUAGAGGUUUAGGUUAUCCUCAGCUACAUAGGGAGUUCAGAGGCCACCUGGUCUAGAGGAGACCUAUGAUGGAGUCUGAAGGAACCUUUUGUAAGCAAAGCCUGUGUGGGGACGGAGGAGUAGGGGGCCAGGGAUGAGGGAGGAAGUCUAAGCGCCUUUUCAGCAGGUGUCCGUGUUUUGCCUUGUUCUGUUUUGUUUUGCUUUUGAAUCUGGGUCUCACCAUGCAGUCCAGGCUUGCCUCCAACUCCCAGCAUUCCUACUUGUGCCUCCCCAGUUCUGGGGUAACAGGUAUGCACGCAUACCACCACACUGCAGCUUGACCUCUUCACCUUUCAAAGCAUUGGCUCUGGGGUUUUGUUCAGCCUUGCCUGACACAGACUUGGAGAAUCCUGUCUGCAAAGCAAAAUUUUAAGGCUGACAUCUGCUGAAAAGCCGAUCUUUCCAGGUCUUCCAAAUGGGGACCACCCUCUGCUCAAUAGCCCUCCAGCUGUAGGCCCUUAACCCUGGGGAGUCACUGGUGGCUCCCUUUGUGGCCCAGUUUGAGGAACCUCCCACAACAACUGCCGGAAUGGAGUGAGGUGAGGAGGCAGGCUGUGGUUUGUACCAGGCACACCCAAGACUACAGUUUCCUCAGUUUCUGUUGACUUUGUGCACUCUCGGGUGUAGGAAGGCGACCCCUGGAGCCAUGUAUCAGUGGAUUUAGAGCUGACCACUCUAACGGAGGUGGUGAGUUAGGUAGGAGACAGGCUUUGAAUGUGGCUCCCACAGGGCUGACCCUCCAAGAGAGUCACCCUGGUUUCUGAGGGAAAACUCCAAGUUGUACCCACCUUUAAGCACCCUUCUUGUGACUGUAAAUUCCUGUCUGAGGCAGCUUUUCAUGGGUCUUGAAGAGGACCUAGGGAGAUAACACAGAAUAAGAACUUGGUUCAGCUCCCCUAAACUCAUGAAAAAAAAAAACAGGUUUUGAGCAUGGUGGUGCAGGCCUGAUAGCUCAGCACUGUGGAGGCAGAGACAGGAUCACUGAAGCUCUCCGACUAGCCAGUUUAGCUGAAUCAGUGAACCUCAAGGAGAGUCAGGGAAAGCCGGUCUCGAAAAU
rnacentral:lncRNA from 1 species